CUGCUCUAAUUAUAACCAUGCUUUUCACCUAAACCCAUCACUGGCUGAAGCAGCAACUUGUGCAAGUGACAUGCGGUCCUGUUUCUGUUUCUCCUAUUUCUUGUCAUGACAAGUCUGCAGUCUUGCUCUGCAAGAUCCCUCUGCAGUGAUCCAGGAUGUGAUGGGUAACAAAGACCUGCAAACCUGCUACUGCUAGUGUCUGUUAGUUUCCCCAGUAAAUAUUUACCUAUCUUGGAGCUUUGAUUGUGACUUGCCACUUAUCCAUGGGAAGAUGCAGAGAUGCAGAAGAAAGACAGCGGGGAAUCAUCAGGGCUUAAGAAGAGGAGAAGCCUCAAAACAUCAACACGUAUACAUUGGAAAGUUCAGAAGACCAUUCUGAGAAAAGAUACUUUUGCACAUGUAAAAGCUGAAAGAAUCCAUCAACAACAGACUUUCACUAUAGGAUAUGUUAAAGGCCAUUCUUCAGACAGAAGGAAAUGUAUAUCUGGUUAAGAACUUGCAUCUGGAAUAUCUAAUAAACACAUCUCAAAA